GAGACUGACGGGCAUUCAUUCUGUCAUCAGUUUGCAUUACAAUAGAACGUACUCGUAGAUCUGUGGCAGCUGGAGUCCGUAGCCUACAAGCGCUCGCAUACAAAAUACAGACAUCUGCGGGUUAAUUCCUCGUGCCAUCCAAACACUCCUUUGUCCAGGCUUCAGUCUUGUUAUUUACUUUCCAUUAUUAACCGCCCAUCAGAGGCAGCUGCUUCGCUCUCACCCGACCUCUCUGCUCAAGGCAAACUGACGCACUCAACGGAGGAUUAGUCGGACACAGUUGGAGCCCUUUAUAGCGCCAUCCUUGCUGACACAGAUGGUGCGAGACAGGUGCAUUUUGGACCGAUGGUCAAACUUGCAUCAAUGCAAAAGUGGCCAAACCCACAGCCCAGCUGGCAGGACGCACGUCCCCAUGACAACUGAGAUUCCCUGGGGUCCCUGAUGGACUGAUGAAUACAGGAGUAGGGAGACAGGUAUGCGUCCAGUAUAUCCACACAUAUUGAAGGGGUUCUUUUAAAGACAGAGGAUUAACCACUACUAUAAUGAUGUCUUGUAGGCUCCGUUCCUCCAUGAAAUUUGUAUUGACUAUUGUUUUUAUUAGGGGAGCUACCGAAGCAAGAUAUUAAUUUCAAUUAGGUCAGUGUAAGGUAAAACAUUUCAAAUAAGAUUUAAAAAAGGUUAAUCAGGUCAGUUAGUAACUGUUCCUAAUCACCUAUGAUUCUGGGAAUGUUAUUAACCCUUCCCUCCUGCAUCCCAUGGUAUCUUUAGGCAGUUGUCAAGUCCAAUGGUCCAGCCUCUCUUUGGUAGGGUUUUGGGGGCAGGUGUUCCAGGGGGUUGCGUUCCACUUUCUGCUGCUUGCUGCUCUGUGUUUCUCUCCAGAUAUGCUGAGGAGGAUACUGAGAUGGUGCCAGCCCUCAGAGGCCAUUUAGACGAGUCAACAACAUGACCAGACUGAUAGAGCUGUCUACAAAGCUGUUUUCUAAACAGUUGUCAACGCGGUUCAUCCUUACCGAAUUGGAACUGGGACGGGAACUGGGACCUAUGGCUUUCAACCACUGACGAAUGAACAUUACUACAAGGCUACUGAUGGAGCACACUUCUUUUGCUUUCGAUUUGUGUUAGAAGGAGACCUUGCAGUGAUUAUUAUUGUUAUUAUUAUUAUUUGGAAGUACCAUUGGCACGUUGCUGGCCCCUUUAAUUGUAGUCUAUUUUAUGCCGACGUCAUUCAGGACGUCAUUCAGGACCACAUUUCAUGCCAUAAGAGAGACCCAUAAAGGGUGGGGUUUUAGUGUUGUCUGAUGCUUUGGCGCUUUCAUUUCCUUAAAUAUUGUUUACCUGAGGGAGCUCUCUCCCCUCUGUAAAAUAGUCCUUUAUCAUCCCCUUCCAGACUGUUCAGCUGAUCAAAGCAGUGAGAGACUAACACCUUUCUCUGAUGCCUGCUUCUCCUCAUGCUGUCAGCACCUUUCUCUUCUCUGUAACCUUGGCAACACUUUUAACACCUUACUCACUUCCUUCUACCUCUGAUGUCUAACAUGACUAACAAGGUUGAGUCUGCCAAGAUGGCCUUCCUGCUAAUUUAAUUGAUGUGCUCCUGAAGGCGUCAGCAGGCUUCAGUUUGGCUGACGCCUUCCUGAAGUUGGCUAGGCAAACCGAACAAGUGGGCUUGCAUCCUCCCUUAAAAGAUCUUCACUUGGAAAACAAUAAAAAAGCGACAAUAGUACCGAUUGUCCAUUUUGACAUGCCGUAGCCAGUAUAAACUUACUCAAAAUAUUCAGAAUGAAUCUAAGAUAACUCAAGAAAUCCGUCAUACAAUUUGACGUUUUUGCAGAGAUCUUAGUCGUGCAAUUUUACAUCUAAUUGAGAUGUCUGGUGCAGUAUUUCUCAAUGAAAACAUUUGCAUGAAAACAUGUCAUUUUCAAAGACUUUAUUGAAGAAUCCCUACUGUUGACCAAUCACCAACGAAGGAGCGUAGAUUUUGGCAACCGACUUCGGCUUGCCUCUAGAAAAAAUGUUGAGCUCGAACAGCCGAAAAAAAACAUGACUAAAGUCCAGAACUAACAAAAACAUCACAAAAUGAUGUCAUAAUAUAUGCACAAAUUCUAUUGAACUGUUUUGGCUGGGAAGCAUGCGGACGUCUUAACCCAGCUGACAUACCCAUACCACUCCAGCAGCUAAUGCUUGUUAUCGUUCGUCUACUCUAACGUUACAGGAGUGUUAUGAGGAUGUUACGACUUUAAUAGGGUUGUGUCAGUGUUUGUAGCGGUGUUUGGAUGGUCUCCCGAGGCCUGGUUUGUCUUGUGAUUUCUGCAUGUUCUGCAACUCCCAAUAACCUCAGCUAGAGUCAUAUAGAACUAACCAACACCAGAGUAAUCCUGGUUUGCUAACCUGGACUAACAAUCUAACAGUCACUAAUCAAGCUAAUCAACCAAACUAAACCCCAAAAGCCCCGUUGAGGGGAGGACGGCUCAUUUGAAUGGCCGGAAUGGAGCAAAUGGAAUGGUAUGUAUUUGAUACCAGUCUAUUUGAUACCAGUCUAUUCAUUCUGCUCCAGCCAUGAGCCCUUCCUCCCAAAUUAAGGUGCCAACAAAGUCCUGUGGUGUAGGUGUACAUUUUUGAGUGUAAGAGUGUGGCUCUUAGUGUAAUUAAUUUCCUUACCCAUUGAAACCAAACCCUCAGCUCUCUUGGCAUUCCUUAAUAAAUACACUAACAAAUAGCCUCUAAUACCUAACAGUACUAAUGUCUGGUAACAGACAUUUUGUUACUUACACAUUAACCUGUACUAUACUAACUUGUACCUCUCCCAUUUUCCUGAAACCUUUCUUCCACCAGACACAGAUCACCCAACAUCAUAUACACUAACUAUGUAUUUAUCUAUCUGUCAUAACCUUAAGCUCAGUAAGUUGCUUGUUGAGAGUUUUUACUUUUGGCCCCUAAAGCACAACGGUGAGAAUGAUUCCAGGAUCUGGGAUGGGAAGCUGGAUUAACCAAUAGAUUUAAAGACAAAGCGCACCUACCUACCUGUAGCUCACUGGGUUGACCACACACUUCUGCUCAGGGGGACGCCUAAAAACAUGUUACGAAUGUUUCAGUAACUAUACUAAAGAUGAUUAUUUUUUAAGUUGUCCAUCUUAAUAGUUGAACAAAUAAUGGCUGACAAAUGUUUGUCCCCCUGUCCAUUGUGUGGCCAACCAGUGCUUGGUUUGUAGCCUGCAUAGACACGUGUGUAUUCUCUUAUUAGAUAAACCAAAGCAAAUAGCAACCCUUACCUGCUUUACUACUAACUGAGUGGUGACUGUUAUAUGAUCAACAACCCUGGAUAAGGCCUAACACUUUGGCUAUUGAUUUCUUGCUCUUACAGUAUGUUAGUAUCUUCUCUCAGACUAACACGUGGUGCUUCUUUCAAUGCUGUCUAACCAUGCUGCGACCAACUGAUCACCCAUCACUUCUCCCUGCCCCUUGGUGAGAUCAAACAGCAUCUAGUAGGCCAUGCAGUAUCAUUUCUUUACUUCCUGAGUCGUCAUGAGGAUAGACAUCUCCGUGUCCUUGAUCGUGUGACACUUUACUUAACUUGCACUAGAGUGAGAAAGCACUAACUAUUGGGGCAUGAAACAGCUUCCCAGAAACUAACAAACUAACUAACCUACUAAUUUAACUAAUUAUCUAACAAACUAACUGAAAUGAUUCAUUGUGUGCUGAGAGUUAUCAGGUUUGGAGGUUUAUGUUCAGCAAGCCAUCCCCCUCUCUGGUGUGUGUGUGUGUGUGUGUGUGUGUGUGUGUGUGUGUGUGUGUGUGUGUGUGUGUGUGUGUGUGUGUGUGUGUGUGUGUGUGUGUGUGUGUGUGUGUGUGUGUGUGUGUGUGUG